GCUGAUGGGAACCACAUUAAUAUUUGAGGGCAUGGUGGAAGUGACGGAUCAAGUAUUUUGUACGUUUUUCUUGGAUUAAGUGUGUUUUGGAUUGGUUCCUGGCUUUAUCUCCAUCGUAUAUUCCGUACCCGAAACCGAUUCAGUUGUUCUGGUAGUGCUUACUAAGGCGCUUGAGAGAACUGCGUUGAUGUAUUUCUGCAAAUUGCGCUCGUAUUUUCGGGAUUAGCGUGUUCUUUUUUUUGGCAACCCAGAGUAGGUAUCACAUUUUAGGGGGUAGCGUCAUGUUUCCAAAAACACAGGGC
rnacentral:rRNA from 1 species